CUGCAUUUUCAAAGCUCUCAUAGAUUCUGCCCAGGCCUGAAAGGCAAACAAAAAAGACCGAAGCUUGCCAGAAACUGAUGAUACCUCAGGGAAAGAGAGUGCCGAGGAAAAACACAGACACUCUACAAAAUGACUGAGAGAGCUUUCCAGGCAAAUACCUGUAGAUGAACAAAGACGGCUCAGCACAGAAUAAAGAUGACUCUGAGAAUAGGCAUGCUGUCCAAUAGCCUCUGGCAGCAAGCAGGUGAAAUGAGGCAUCAAGGUGAGAGAGACUAGAACAACAACAAAAAUCCCACCAGAUGAAAAUGCAUUAGCACUUUUUUCCACUGACAUCUGGAUUUCUUUCAAAUGUGAUGUGAACAACAAACAUUUCGGCAUGCAGCACUGCCCUGGUGAACUCAGCAACCUGGAGAGCCCCAAGACCACCCAGCACAUUCAACCAUAAACAUGCGAGCUAUCAGAAAUAGAAGACCAUAGCUAGAGGGGGAAAAAGGUAUCUAAUGAAGUCCUGCAGCAUUGCUUUAUACCCCUACUCUAUCUCGGGUACUUCAUUGCUUUGCUGCCUUGCUAUAGGAGGUGAAGCACUUGGAAGAAGCUGUAUCAGGGCUAUUAACUCACUGUGUAAAGCAGAGCCCAGUUUGGAGCAUUUCUCCUCUAAAUCUGUGCAGAGCUGGGCUGCAUCAGGGAAAAGCAAGUGCUGCUAAAGGAUUUUCUGGCCCUGUCUUUUGAUAGAAUGAAAUAACAGAAGAUCUGAGCUGCUUCUAGUGGGAGUCAGGGUCACAGAGUGAUCCAUUAGGAUGGAGUUUGUGCUGCAGCCCUAGCUACAGAGGGUUAAAAAUCUUCUUUGACUUCUUUCUUAUACCAUCAGGCCAGCCCUGUCUUCCCAGCUGACUACUAUGUUACCUAAGAUAUGGAGAGAAGAGGGGGGGAAAAAAGUUGAACACAUCAGAAGUUUAAUCCCACACAAAGCAGCUCAAAUACAAAAAUCUAAAGAUGUAUCACAAAUGAAAUAAAGCUCCCUGAAGUAUUUGUUUAAUGUU